rnacentral:rRNA from 1 species
UACGUAGGGGGCAAGCGUUAUCCGGAUUUACUGGGUGUAAAGGGAGCGUAGACGGCUAGACAAGUCUGGUGUGAAAACCCGGGGCUCAACCCUGGGACUGCAUUGGAAACUGUUUGGCUUGAGUGCAGGAGAGGUAAAUGGAAUUCCUAGUGUAGCGGUGAAAUGCGUAGAUAUUAGGAGGAACACCAGUGGCGAAGGCGGCUUACUGGACUGUAACUGACGUUGAGGCUCGAAAGCGUGGGGAGCAAACAGG